AAGAGGACCGGGUCCGUCGCGCCGGUCACCACGAGGUAAUCGCGCAGGGCGAUGGCGUGCGCGCCCUC
rnacentral:sRNA from 1 species